rnacentral:tRNA from 1 species
AAGCGGAUUUUAGAUCGAGAAGGAGAUGUUGUUACAACACCAACUUUAGAUGAAUAUACUGAUAAUAUUACAAAAGACGCAAUUG